ensembl:lncRNA novel transcript
CAUGGGAGGGGCUUGACUAGGAGAGCCAGCAGGGCAAGAACUAUCACUCCUCUCCCACCCUCAGACUCACUUGCCGGUGACCAAGUCUGGCUCACAACAUCAGACAUUUCUUUCCUUUAGGAGGAUUUAGAUUUUAGAGGUCCUAAUUCAGUCUGGACUCUGGUUUCAUACAAUAGAAUCUGGCAGUGGUAAACUUAACCAUAUGGGGAAUGGAUCAGAAGAGUAUGAAGUAACCCAGCAAAAGGCUGGCAUCUUGCAAAGGUGGAUGGAGCCAAGACUCUUCUGAGAUUUCAUAAGAUACCUCACAGAAAGCCACUCUAGGCUGAGGGGGAUGAAACGAAGGUCAGCCUCUAUGCUGGUUUCCCAGGUAACUGCCAUACCGGUUAAGAUGUACUACCACAAUUAUUAAAGAACAGGGUCUGUAUUGCCUUCCAUCUGCAGCAAACCAAACUAGAAAUGCAGGCUGCCAUCCACAUGGCCAAUGCUGAGAUGGGGACUGGGGGAUGACAGGUGGGUAAGCAAAAGUGCUACAUGCUUUCUCACUGAACUUAACAACUUGUUUCUUCAUUAAGCGUGCCCAUAGUGGCUAUAAGCUUUUGAUUAGAUUUCAGAGUUCCAAAAGAAUUAAUUCUAUCAAUUUUUGCCAGUUUAGUGGUUGCUUCUACGGAGGAACCAAUUCUUAGAGUUCCUUACUCUUCCAUUUCUGUGGUAUCAUUCUAUCUCUCCCAGGUUUAAAAAAAAUUUAAAAACACUUUUUAUUAAGGAAAAAUUUAAGCAUAUACAAAAGUAAGGAGGUUGUUUUAAUGAACAUCCAUGAACUCAUCAACCAUGUGAAAAAUUACCAACUCAUGGCCAAUCUUAUUUCAUCGAUACCACCAACCAUCGUCAAAGACUUACUAAGUGUUGUGCUCAGAGUGCCUCAUGCAUUAUCUUAUUUUCACAUUACUUCUACGAGAUGGAUAUUAAUAUCCCCAUUUUACAGAUGAGAAAAUGAAAACUGAGGGAUUUAGUAAUUUUCCCAAGGUCACACACAACUUCCUGGGAUCAGAUUCUGAACUUGUACCUAUCUGGGAUCUGAAUCAUGGCUUAAGCUGAUUCUCCAAUCACUUUUUCUCAGAAGCUCAUUUGAUGCUGACAGCAACCUGAAUGUGGUGGACAUGACUAAUGUUCAUUCAAAUUUGCUUCUUAUUUUCCAAGUGGAGAUGGAAUUAUGAUUCCUCAACUCCUUGAAAUUAGACAGGGUUCUGUGGCAAGUUCUGGCCAAGGCAAUGUAGGCAGAAUUGACUUGUAUCAGUACUGGGCUGAAGCAUUUCAUUGCUGGUGCUUCACUUCCAACCCUCUCUUUGCCUGCUGCAGAGAACUCUUUAACCUCAUCUUGAGAUGCUAGUUAUAGGUGAUGGGUUGGGGUUGGGGCUGGGGAGCCUCUAUCACCUUGGGUACCUUAAAGAUGAUUACUACAGGAGAGCACAGCCUUUUGCUGAUGAUUGUACAUGCAGUAUGUAUAAGAAAUAAACCUUUGUUGUGGCAAAC